AGCUUUGCACAGUGGCAGUAUCGUUAGCCAAUGAGCUUUACCCGAGGCGCGAUUAUUGCUAGUUAAAUAUUUAUAAAAACUUUUCGAGCAGCGCCUGAACAAGAAUAGGUUCAGAGGAGACAUC
rnacentral:snRNA from 1 species